rnacentral:rRNA from 1 species
GCGGCACGCCUAACACAUGCAAGUCGAACGAAGUAGCAAUACUUAGUGGCAGACGGGUGAGUAACAUGUAGGUAUCUACCCUAUGGCCUGGAAUAACACGAGGAAACUUGUGCUAAUACCGGAUAAGUCUUUACGGAGAAAGCUUUAUGCACCAUUGGAUGAGCCUGCACUUGAUUAGUUUGUUGGUGGGGUAAUGGCCUACCAAGACUUUGAUCAAUAGCUGAUUUGAGAGGAUGAUCAGCCACAUUGGGACUGAGACACGGCCCAAACUCCUACGGGAGGCAGCAGUGGGGAAUCUUGCACAAUGGAGGAAACUCUGAUGCAGCGAUGCCGCGUGAGUGAAGAAGGCCUUUGGGUUGUAAAGCUCUUUCGUCGGGGAAGAAAAUGACUGUACCCGAAUAAGAAGGUCCGGCUAACUUCGUGCCAGCAGCCGCGGUAAUACGAAGGGACCUAGCGUAGUUCGGAAUUACUGGGCUUAAAGAGUUCGUAGGUGGUUGAAAAAGUUGGUGGUGAAAUCCCAGAGCUUAACUCUGGAACUGCCAUCAAAACUUUUCAGCUAGAGUUUGAUAGAGGAAAGCAGAAUUUCUAGUGUAGAGGUGAAAUUCGUAGAUAUUAGAAAGAAUACCAAUUGCGAAGGCAGCUUUCUGGAUCAUUACUGACACUGAGGAACGAAAGCAUGGGUAGCGAAGAGGAUUAGAUACCCUCGUAGUCCAUGCCGUAAACGAUGUGUGUUAGACGUUGGAAAUUUUUUUUCAGUGUCGCAGCGAAAGCGAUAAACACACCGCCUGGGGAGUACGACCGC